ACCUGGAUAGCUCAGUUCAUUAGAGCAUGGUGCUGAUGAUGCCAAGGUUGCAGGUUCGAUCCCUGUAUGGGUA